AUUCCAGCUCCAAUAGCGUAUAUUAAAAUUGUUGCAGUUAAAAAGCUCGUAGUUGGAUCUGCGGUUAGGGCUUGCGGUCCACCACGCGGUGGCACUGCUCGUCCCGACCUACGUCGAAUUGACCCGCGUUGCUCUUCACUGAGUGACCGGGAAGGCUCGAACGUUUACUUUGAAAAAAUUAGAGUGUUCAUAGCAGGCAGUCCGCCCGAAUAAUGUUGCAUGGAAUAAUGGAAUAGGACCUCGGUUCUAUUUUGUUGGUUUUCGGAAUUGAGGUAAUGAUUAAUAGGGACGGCCGGGGGCAUUCGUAUUACGGUGUUAGAGGUGAAACUCUGGGAUCAUCGUAAGACGAACUACAGCGAAAGCAUUUGCCAAGAAUGUUUUCAUCA
rnacentral:rRNA from 1 species